GACGUAGACAUGGGGGUGGAGGCGGCGGAGAUGGGCGCUGAACCGGCGGCGCACGGGCAGCUGCUGUGGGCAACCGGUGGCGGGCGGAGGUACAUCAGCUACGACGCACUGCGGGGGGACGCCGUGCUGUGCUCCCGGCCAGGGGUGCCCUACUACAACCGCCGCAUCAGCACCACCGCCAACCCCUACACCCGCGGCUGCGAGUCCAUCACCCGCUGCCGCGACGACGACCCUUCCUAGGUUGUAAACAGAAUCCAGAAAUUACGGAAGACUGCUCAGCUUGAACCUACAGACUUAAUUGAUGUUUACUACGAGUCUGUAGACAACAGCAACAAUACACUUGAAGAAAUUUUGCAGUCACAGGAUCAGUAUAUUAGGGACGUGCUUGGUAAUUCACUAGUUCCAAAGGCAGCGGCAACAUCAGAUAUGGUAGAAGAUAGCGACAGAGUUUGAAGGUAUGUGCAAAGAUCUUCUCCUCCGUCGCCGUCCGCGACAAAGCUGUUGGGUGCAUCCGUCCAUCAUAUUUAGAUCUGAGUGAAGAGGGCAUCCGUCCAUCUCAAAAGGAUAUGGAUGACCAUCUGAAGGUAUGCAAGUUUCUUCCCAAACUUAACGACGAGAUACUAGGUGAAAGAUAUGCUCUCUACAAGGAAAGGUUGAGCAGCCUAGAGAAUUUAGUACUGAUCAUGAGGUGAUCGACGCAGUCUACCGCGACCCGGUGGGCGUCGUGCUCUUCAACAACUCGGAGGCGGACUUUGUUGUGAAGCCCGGCGACCGCCUCACACAGAUGAUUGUCCAGGUGAUUGCGAUGCCGGAGGUCGCCGAGGUGGAGGACCUUGACGUCACCGUCUGGAGGACUCGACGCCACCGUCUCGAGGUUGCCGAGGUGGAGGACCUCGAUGCCACCGUCUCGAGGUUGCCAAGGUGAAGGACCUCGACGCCUUGGUAGAUACAUCUAGAGAAGUGGUCAUGUUAGUU